rnacentral:rRNA from 1 species
GUCUUCGAUGGAUAGGGGUUCUGAGAGGAAAGGUCCCCCACAUUGGAACUGAGACACGGUCCAAACUCCUACGGGAGGCAGCAGUGAGGAAUAUUGGUCAAUGGGCGAGAGCCUGAACCAGCCAAGUAGCGUGAAGGAUGACUGCCCUAUGGGUUGUAAACUUCUUUUAUAAAGGAAUAAAGUCGGGUAUGUAUACCCGUUUGCAUGUACUUUAUGAAUAAGGAUCGGCUAACUCCGUGCCAGCAGCCGCGGUAAUACGGAGGAUCCGAGCGUUAUCCGGAUUUAUUGGGUUUAAAGGGAGCGUAGAUGGAUGUUUAAGUCAGUUGUGAAAGUUUGCGGCUCAACCGUAAAAUUGCAGUUGAUACUGGAUAUCUUGAGUGCAGUUGAGGCAGGCGGAAUUCGUGGUGUAGCGGUGAAAUGCUUAGAUAUCACGAAGAACUCCGAUUGCGAAGGCAGCCUGCUAAGCUGCAACUGACAUUGAGGCUCGAAAGUGUGGGUAUCAAACAGGAUUAGAUACCCUGGUAGUACACACGGUAAACGAAGGAAUACUCGCUGUUUGCGAUAUACGGCAAGCGGCCAAGCGAAAGCGUUAAGUAUUCCACCUGGGGAGUACGCCGGCAACGGUGAAACUCAAAGGAAUUGACGGGGGCCCGCACAAAGCGGAGGAACAUGUGGUUUAAUUCGAUGAUACGCGAGGAACCUUACCCGGGCUUAAAUUGCAGAUGAAUUACGGUGAAAGCCGUAAGCCGCAAGGCAUCUGUGAAGGUGCUGCAUGGUUGUCGUCAGCUCGUGCCGUGAGGUGUCGGCUUAAGUGCCAUAACGAGCGCAACCCUUGUUGUCAGUUACUAACAGGUUCCGCUGAGGACUCUGACAAGACUGCCAUCGUAAGAUGUGAGGAAGGUGGGGAUGACGUCAAAUCAGCACGGCCCUUACGUCCGGGGCUACACACGUGUUACAAUGGGGGGUACAGAGGGCCGCUACCAUGCGAGUGGAUGCCAAUCCCAAAAACCUCUCUCAGUUCGGACUGGAGUCUGCAACCCGACUCCACGAAGCUGGAUUCGCUAGUAAUCGCGCAUCAGCCACGGCGCGGUGAAUACGUUCCCGGGCCUCGCAAAAGGCGCCCGUC